rnacentral:lncRNA from 1 species
GACAGUAGAGAUCGCCCUCACAGCUCUGAUGUACGUUCAUUUCCGAUGGAAAAUAUAAGAGCGCGCUGUAUCAGUUCCUUUGAAUGUACUCUUGAAUGAGCUGCUGUGUGGUGACGAUGGCAGUUGGCAUUUGACUUUCACUCCUUUACGUGGCGUAGGCUGCCAGCGUGCUUCCGUCAUGCCUAUGUAGACUGCACGGGGCUGGGUUGUGUCUGGUGAUAAUGCUACAAGGAUCGUAAAGCAGGCGUGUUAAGCGCAUUUGUCCCGCGCCAUGUGCGCCUAAAGGAGGAAGGCGAAAGCAAAACGGUGAGAAUUGGUGUUCAAGCCUGCAUCAAUGUUGUGCCGUUUCAGGGUUGUGGAUACGUGCACGUGUAGUUCCCAUUGUGUUUGUUUGCGGUGCACCUGUCCUGUGUGUGUGUUUUUAUUAUGUAUGUUGAUUAGUUUGCGUGGGAACCAGUGCCAUAGGUGUUGCCUGUUAUGUUGAUGCGCACGUGAAUGCGGCGAUGCCGACCAGGAUGAUGCAGCCUUUUGGAUGAGUGCUGAAUGGCGUUGCCAGGCGAUGGCAAAACUAGUUGCGCGAUGCCAUGAGACAGGGGCACUGGAUGUUGUGUGUGUGUGUGUGUGUUACAUGGUCGUGGGUGCGUUCCCCGUACCUGCAAACCGCCCUAAUACGAGCCGAGGGCUCAAGGGCUGCCAGAUCGCCUACAAGCACCAUCCUACCUCGCACUUUAGAGCAAGUGAUAAAGGAUGUGGAACGAUGGCGAUUGAGCCGGAUUCGACUAACGUCUGAUUAUGUACCAUACCAUUGUGUGUCCUGAGCUCUUGCUCCUUGCAUAUAUCCGUUUGAUGGAUUCUGAAUGUCGUAGUUGUGCUGACGCUGUCAAUCGUACCUAUUGCCCCUUUCCGCCAAGUACUCAGGCAGAAGCUGCUGAAGGGGUUGGCUGCAACUGCGUACCCUGGUCACAGCUAUUGAGCUAAAAACUUCUGUUGUUCAGAUGCGGUCCGGGCGAGCAUCGCCCCCAGGGGCAGAGAUUGUGUUUCGCCGGGGGCAGCGUGCAGGUAUGUGAGUGUUGUAGUCAACAGCUAUGAUGGGUGGCCGACGCGUGGUGUGCCUUGUUUAGUCAGACGGAGAGCCCCCUCGCAACCUACUAUAUUUUGUCUGCGCGUUCCCCUCGUCCUUUGAUGCGUGUGGUGGGCCGGGGCGACGAAUGCCAGCGGGCGGUGGGCCGGGACCGGCAUGGCAUGCCCUGCUGUGUGCUCCGUGCUGCUCGCUGAGGAUGCGGAACGCCGGUGUGCCAGCAAUUGCAAUCCUUCAGAAGGUUGAGGAAAGCUGAGCAGAGUUCAGCUCGAUGUAUUUCGAACAGCUGGCAUGCAGGUCUGGGCUGGCCACGGGUACAAGGCGCAAUGAUUCAGCGUUUAGUUAGCAUAAUCCGAGGCUUUGCUAGGGCCCGUGCCCUUGAUGUCGAGUCUCCUCAGUAAAGCGAUCUUAAGUAGUGCUGCCGGUAAUUUUGGUGCUGGUAGUUGGCAGGUAUUGGCAGGUGGAGGCUUCAGAGCUAUGGUUCAAGAAUAGUGGGGCUACUAUCCCGACGCUUUAAUGCUGUUGUAAGCUAUACCUCACGACUGGGUAAAAAUAAUCUCUACGGCGUUUAGUUGUGGGUAUGUCUGUUGACUUAUGCAGCGCUACCGUAUGGGCAUAACGCUGCAUACCGUAUGGGCAUGUUAAGUGCACGCGGCUCGUGUUCGACAUGUGCAUGUCAUACACCGCUGGAGACACACUUUCGCCCGUGGUUUAUGCGGUGUGGUGGCGAACCGUGUUGCGUGAUGGGAGCACUACGGCGGCAUUGAUGCAUGUACGUAGUUUCGUACAUAAAAGAUGUGACGACGACAGCAGCUGAAGAUGCUUGCAUUAGGUCUUCCGUGGGUUGCUAUGAACCAUGCCGCCUGUCCCUCACGCGAAUUGCGCCUAACCAAGCAUCCGCGCUGUGGUGCCAUGCGCUGUGGAGCAAAAGUAGCUGCAGUACCGGUACUGAUCCGGAAGUUACGAAAGGGGACGAGUCCAUCAACUUCCAAUGGGAUAUAUCGUUUUGCCAUCGGGUUAAGUCUCGGCGGCUCCAUCUGUCGACAGUCUUGCGUUGGAACUCCAGGAGUAAGCUGGUUAGCGGCAUUCACGUCCGUUCACAAUUUUGAGACACAAACUCCGUUGAACGCAUUUCACGCGCGCUGGAAACCACAUUGCUGUGGUUUGUGCGUUAUCUUCCACUUCGGCGGACUUGCAGGAAACAGAACGGCUGGCGUGCCGACAGCCUGCAGCUAGCGCGGUUUGGCUCGCGGCUGGGGAAAUCAGCUUUCUGUCAUUUAUUAACCGACACACAACAACGGCUUUCAACUUAAGUUUAUUGCUCAGUCCUGCCGUGUUGCGUUACAAUAGCUAAGCCGCCAACCGCCAGCGCAAUUUGGUAGCAAAACAACCCGGCUGCGAAACCCCCUCCCAACACCAACCCAUUGAGAAAGUUGCACUAGUGGCCGAUAGUGCUGGCAGUUACCUGUGUUGCACCGUUAACGAAUCCUAGGACCUCAAGGGCCCCGGCAAGGGCCGAAGAGCCACACGAGGCCCGCUGCGACAAAACCAGGGACCGCUGCAUUGUGGCAACCCCCGGGAUUGCCCUGUGUGGGUGGGGGAUACGACGAGGCACAGACGAUUGAUGAGAAUAAGAACAUAGACGGGUACUCCAAGAUUAGACCAAUAAUACAGGACGAUCAGUAAGAUACUGACCCGUUGGUGGGUGAGGGGAAACUAGAGGACACUGUCCCAGCAGCGGGACACACCUCAUGGUGAUAGCCAGAACAGCGGCAGUUAGAGAAGCAAUGCGCCUGUGGGACCCAAGUAGAAGCUUUUGGAGUCCCCUGCCGUAUUGUGGUCCGGCACAUGCAUGCAUGCGCCCUGCUUCCACGCACCACGGCAGUUCCUUCGCAAUAACUUGCGUAUCGAUACACUCAUACUUCGCUUCGAGAAGUCAAAGCUGCACCAGAUCCCUAAAAGGGGUUAGUAGUGGAGGGGUUUUGCGGCGCCUAAUAGCAUUCUGUAGUAUCCAACCUUGAUGACCUUGGACUCUUGGUUGCAUGAAAAUUUGGCAAACUUGGCAACUGCAAUCAACAUCCAGUGCUUCCGACAGGUACCUUCUAUAAACAGGACAAAAGGCAGCACGCGGAAACACCAUAGUUCAGCUACAGCGAGCCGUGGGCCAGCUGCAGUAGCUGCAAUGCCCAGGAUUUGCAGAACUAACAUGUAACAUGAUCAAGAACCGGUAAUAACGUCAGAGCUGGCGUUGUCGCGGAGAACCAACGCAGGAGGAAUUCUUACAGUUUCGGCCAAACGCCAUGCAUUCUGCCAGGCGAAUAUACAUUUGUGUUAAAAUGUGAUAUUUGGAUGUUGCAUCGAAAGCGAGGCGUCGGAGUUGCUCACGGAGUUGAUUCUGUUGGAGACCUUACCCUCAGGCAGGACACUCAACACCCUUCCAGGCCACAAGUAAAAAUUUGGUACAAACUGACGCAGCUCUUCUG